rnacentral:lncRNA from 1 species
AGUGCAAGAAACGACCACAGCAACAGCAACAACAGACAACAGGCAAUAUCCACAAAUCCCACGCAAGUCAAGGUACAGGGGCUACUACUAGCAUAAUACGAAGAAUGAAAGAAUGCAGAAUGAAAAAUGAAAUAACAAAGGUUAGAAGUCACCGGAUUACGAUUGUAUACCAAGCCGGAAACCAAGCCCAGCGUUGACCGGCUUCCGGGGGAUUCCGGUGCUGAGAUGGAGCUGCAGCUGCUGUGGACCGAGGGAACUGGUC